AAAAGAAACAUCGAUCAUAUAUUACUUUUUGAUAGAUUUAAAACUAAAGAAAAGACAUGACCAAUUCGACAAAAGAAUGGAAUAUAAUGAUAAUAAUAACAAGAAUAGAAAAAGAGGUAAAAUGAGCUGUUUGCUAGAUUCAAUUUAUUACAAUGCCCAAAGCCAGAAAAAACAUCUUUAAGUUGGCAUUUCAUUGAGUACUAAAGUUGGGAAAUAAAAUUAGUUAAUGGUUGUAUGUACACAAAAAAUAAAAAGGAUUAACCGGAUGAUAAAAAAUUCACAAGCUUAAAGAGUAUAUUAAAAUUUUAAAAAUCGCAUUUAUUUCAACUAAAGAAUUAAAAAGAAAGAUCAAAAGUUAGAAGUUCUUUUCAUAUUUGAAAUAAUUUAAUCAUAUUUUAUGAUUUUCGAAUAUCAUUGAAAAUUGCAUUGUACUUAAAAGAAGUGAAAGUGAUAAAUAUAUAUAAUAAUUAAGUAACAAAUAGCGGAGGAACUGGGGAUACCUAUCAGCGACGCACUCCACCGGGCUGCAGGGCGGGAUCGAUGGAGACAGUUGGUUGACGAAAUCGGACGGAGUCACGAUCCUCAGCAGUGAGGAACCGAUCGAAGAGAGAGAGAGAGAGAACAGUUUCAUAUUAUUCGAGGAAAUUUGUAUGAUGAUUAAUAAAUGUAUACAUAUAACAUAAUUUUUUUGGCAA